GUGUCAGCAGCCGCGGUAAUACGGAGGGUGCGAGCGUUGUCCGGAAUCACUGGGCGUAAAGGGCGCGUAGGUGGCUACUUAAGCGUGUGGUGAAAGUCCGGGGCUCAACCCCGGAUCGGCCGUGCGAACUGAGUGGCUUGAGCACUGUAGAGGCAGGUGGAAUUCCGGGUGUAGCGGUGGAAUGCGUAGAGAUCCGGAAGAACACCGGUGGCGAAGGCGGCCUGCUGGGCAGUGGCUGACACUGAGGCGCGACAGCGUGGGGAGCAAACAGGAUUAGAUACCCUGGUAGUCCACGCCGUAAACGAUGGGCACUAGGUGCCUGGGGGAGCGACCCCCUGGGUGCCGUCGCUAACGCAUUAAGUGCCCCGCCUGGGGAGUACGGCCGCAAGGCUGAA
rnacentral:rRNA from 1 species